GAUGAAGGCCUUCGGGUUGUAAACUGCUUUUGUACGGAACGAAAAGACUCCUUCUAAUAAAGGGGGUCCAUGACGGUACCGUAAGAAUAAGCACCGGCUAACUACGUGCCAGCAGCCGCGGUAAUACGUAGGGUGCGAGCGUUAAUCGGAAUUACUGGGCGUAAAGCGUGCGCAGGCGGUUAUGUAAGACAGAUGUGAAAUCCCCGGGCUCAACCUGGGAACUGCAUUUGUGACUGCAUAGCUAGAGUACGGUAGAGGGGGAUGGAAUUCCGCGUGUAGCAGUGAAAUGCGUAGAUAUGCGGAGGAACACCGAUGGCGAAGGCAAUCCCCUGGACCUGUACUGACGCUCAUGCACGAAAGCGUGGGGAGCAAACAGGAUUAGAUACCCUGGUAGUCCACGCCCUAAACGAUGUCAACUGGUUGUUGGGUCUUCACUGACUCAGUAACGAAGCUA
rnacentral:rRNA from 1 species